rnacentral:rRNA from 1 species
GAUGAACGCUAGCGGCAGGCCUAAUACAUGCAAGUCGAGGGGUAGUGGCUGCUUGCAGCCAUGAGACCGGCGCACGGGUGCGUAACGCGUAUGCAACCUACCUUCAUCUGGGGGAUAGCCCGAAGAAAUUCGGAUUAACACCGCAUAAAAUCACAGUACCGCAUGGUACAAUGAUCAAAUAUUUAUAGGAUUGAGAUGGG